UUGAACGCUGGCGGCAUGCCUUACACAUGCAAGUCGAACGGCAGCGCGGGAGCAAUCCUGGCGGCGAGUGGCGAACGGGUGAGUAAUACAUCGGAACGUGCCCAAUCGUGGGGGAUAACGCAGCGAAAGCUGUGCUAAUACCGCAUACGAUCUACGGAUGAAAGCAGGGGACUCGCAAGAGCCUUGCGCGAAUGGAGCGGCCGAUGGCAGAUUAGGUAGUUGGUGGGGUAAAGGCUCACCAAGCCGACGAUCUGUAGCUG
rnacentral:rRNA from 1 species